AGCGCGGCCGUUAACCGCUUCGGCGCGGUCCUCGGUCCCGCCCUUGAGGCGCUGCCUGAGGGGCGGCCCGGGCGUGGCGGUACCCGGACCUGGAGGUGAAAGCGUGAGAAACGGAGGCGGCACCGCGCUGAGAAGCAGAAUAAGGUAAAGCCUGAAGAACUGUCCUAACCUCGGGCCGGCUGUGACCGCGUCGAUAAAGCAGAGCUCGGAGAAAGAAAAGCAUCACCAUCUAGAAUGCAGGUAACAGAAGAACAAAGAGCUGCCAUUCUAGUGAGGAUCCUUCAGGAAGCUUGUGGGAAAGCACCUUUCGCCUCUGACGUAGCAUGUGAAAAUACAGCUGGGGAAAGACUGAAGAGAAAACAGACAAGGAAGAAGUCAGGCUUCUGUGCUGGUGUAAAACACACUCACAUACUCCAAGUCAGUGAUUCUGUUAAAAGAAAAUCUGCUUUUCCACUUUGCUCAAAUCAUCUACUGGCUGAAAACAAGCAAUACUGCCUUUAGACUUCAGUUAUUAUUUAAUUUUGUUACAACUAUGCCAUUUUUAAUUAAAGGCAAAAUACGUUAUUUCAUAAUUAACUUUGCACGUACAAGAAGAAUGACAAAGUUUCUUGAAUUGCAUGCAUACAAUGAAAAUAAACUGCUUUGUGAGGAGGCAAAAUAAACCACCAUGAGAAAUGGAAGUCAUCCAAAAGAAUGAAAUUCACAAAUUUGUUUCAUAUCUUAUGAUUCCAGUGUCUCUUUUUCAGGAUCUAAAAAAACUUUAUACAAACUGGCACCUCUUGCAUCUCUAUCCUCCUGCAAAGCUUUUCUCCUCCUAUUUCUAACAUUGCAUUAAGAAGAAGAAGAAGAAGAACAACUAGGGGAUGCAAAACAGCAAAAACUUCCAUCUUUGUGAACAAUGUGAAAAUAAAACAAGGUCAAUAUCAAUAUAGAUGACAUCAGUUACACUUGUCUAAUGUUUGCCAUGAGUGUGAGGCAACCAAAGACUACUUAAUUCAUAGGUUUUUUUUUGUUUGUUUUUUGUUUUUUUUUUUUUUUAAGGUUAGCGUUUUCUCCCUUGGCUUUCUUUCCCAAUAUUAAAUAUCUUGACUAUCUCCUCCAAUCCUACCCUUCAUUUCAUUUAACUCCCCCAGUGUUAAGUAGUGAAUACGUCUGUCCAGAAAUGUAGAAGUAUACAGAGCCAUGUGAUUUCUCUUUGAAGUUUAAAUAAUUGGUAUCUUUAUACACAAAGAAUUUAAUGAUAUCUUUUCUUGCAAGAUGUCUAUUUGACAGGCAAGAACUAAUUUUGAUAUUUAAAGCCAGAUAAAUGGUAAGAUGCAACUAACAAGAAUAUUAAUCUUAAUUUUUAACAGUGGAUUUAAAACUUGCUUUUUUCAU